AUUGAACGCUGGCGGCAUGCCUUACACAUGCAAGUCGAACGGAUCAGAAGGGCUUGCUCUUCUGGUUAGUGGCGAACGGGUGAGUAAUGCAUCGGAACGUACCCAGUCGUGGGGGAUAACGUAGCGAAAGUUACGCUAAUACCGCAUACGAUCUGAGGAUGAAAGCGGGGGACCUUCGGGCCUCGCGCGAUUGGAGCGGCCGAUGUCGGAUUAGCUAGUUGGUGAGGUAAAGGCUCACCAAGGCAACGAUCCGUAGCUGGUCUGAGAGGACGACCAGCCACACUGGGACUGAGACACGGCCCAGACUCCUACGGGAGGCAGCAGUAAGGAAUAUUGGUCAAUGGACGCAAGUUUGAACCAGCCAUGCCGCGUGGAGGAUGAAGGUCCUCUGGAUUGUAAACUUCUUUUAUCUGGGAAGAAAUCCAUGGUUUCUACUAUGGUUGACGGUACCAGAUGAAUAAGCACCGGCUAACUCCGUGCCAGCCGCCGCAGUAAUAC
rnacentral:rRNA from 1 species